GACGAACGCUGGCGGCGUGCUUAACACAUGCAAGUCGAACGGAAAGGCCCUGCUUUUGUGGUGUGCUCGAGUGGCGAACGGGUGAGUAACACGUGAGUAACCUGCCCUUGUCUUUGGGAUAACUUCAGGAAACUGGGGCUAAUACCGGAUAGGAGCUCCUGCUGCAUGGUGGGCGUUGGAAAGUUUCGGCGGUCGGGGAUGGACUCGCGGCUUAUCAGUUUGUUGGUGGGGUAGUGGCUUACCAAGGCUUUGACGGGUAGCCGGCCUGGGAGGGUGACCGGCCACAUUGGGACUGAGAGACGGCCCAGAGUCCUACGGGAGACAGCGGGGGGAAGUAUUGCACAGUGAGCGGAAGCCUGAUGCAGAGACGCCGCGUGCGGGAUGACGGCCUUCGGGUUAUAAACCGCUUUAGGCUGUGACGAAGCGUGAGUGACGGUAAUGGAUAAAGAAGCACCGGCUAACUACGUG
rnacentral:rRNA from 1 species